AAUCUUAAAGGAAUUGGCGGAAGGGCACCACCAGCGGUGGAGCCUGCGGCUUAAUUUGACUCAACACGGGGAAACUCAUCCGGUCCGGACACCGUGAGGAUUGACAGAUUGAGAGCUCUUUCUUGACUUGGUGGGCAGUGGUGCAUGGCCGUUCUUAGUUGGUGGAGUGAUUUGUCUGGUUUAUUCCGAUAACGAACGAGACUCUGGCCUACUAACUAGUUGCGCGAUCUUUUCGUCGUGCCAACUUCUUAGAGGGACAAGCGGUGCUCAGCCGCAUGAAAAAGAGCAAUAACAGGUCUGUGAUGCCCUUCGAUGUUCGGAGCUGCACGCGCGCUACACUGUGAGUGGCAGCAUGUUAGCUUGCCUCGCUCGCAAGAGUGGGGUAAUCGGUUGAAAAUCUCACGUGAUUGGGAUAGGGACUUGUAAUUGUUUCCCUUGAACGAGGAAUCCCUAGUAAGUGCAGGUCAUCAGCUUGCGCUGAUUACGU
rnacentral:rRNA from 1 species